rnacentral:SRP_RNA from 1 species
GCCAGGCGUGGUGGCCUGCGCCUGUAGUCCCAGCUACUCUGGAGGCUGAGGUGAGAGGAUCACUUGAGCCUGGGAGUUCUGGGCUGUAGUGCUCUGUGGCAAUCAGGUGUCCACACUAAGUUCGGCAUCAAUGUGGUGAUCUCCUGGGAGCAGGGGACCAGCAGGUUGCCUGAGGAGGGGUCAACUGCUGGCCCAGGUCAGAAAAUGGAGCAGGACAUAACUCCUGUGAUGAUCAGUAGUGAGAUCGCACCUAUGAAUAGCCACUGCACUCCAGCCUGGGCAACAUAACAAGACAUGUCCAUCUCU